CCUACGGGUGGCAGCAGUGAGGAAUAUUGGUCAAUGGGCGCGAGCCUGAUCCAGCCAAGUAGCGUGAAGGAUGACUGCCCUACGGGUUGUAAACUUUUUUUAUAGAGGAAUAAAGUGCGGCACGUGUGCCAUUUUGUAUGUACUUUAUCAUUAAGGCUCGGCUAACUACGUGACAGCAGCCGCGGUAAUACGGAGGGACUGAGCGUUAUCCGGAUUUAUUGGGUUUAAAGGGAGCGUAGAUGGGUUGUUAAGUCAGUUGUGAAAGUUUGCGGCUCAACCGUAAAAUUGCAAUUGAUACUGGCAGUCUUGAGUACAGGUGAGGUAGGCGGAAUUCGUGGUGUAGCGGUGAAAUGCUUAGAUAUCACGAAGAACUCCGAUUGCGAAGGCAGCUUACUAAACUGCCACUGACAUUGAGGCUCGAAAGUGUGGGUAUCAAACAGGAUUAGAUACCCGAGUAGUC
rnacentral:rRNA from 1 species